AUUGAACGCUGGCGGCAUGCUUUACACAUGCAAGUCGAACGGUAACAGGCCGCAAGGUGCUGACGAGUGGCGAACGGGUGAGUAAUGCAUCGGAACGUGCCCAGUCGUGGGGGAUAACGCAGCGAAAGUUGUGCUAAUACCGCAUACGAUCUAUGGAUGAAAGCGGGGGACCGUAAGGCCUCGCGCGAUUGGAGCGGCCGAUGUCAGAUUAGGUAGUUGGUGGGGUAAAGGCCUGCCAAGCCGACGAUCUGUAGCUGGUCUGAGAGGACGACCAGCAACACGUGGACUGCGAAACGGCCCAGACUCCUACGGGAGGCAGCAGUGGGGAAUUUUGGACAAUGGGCGCAAGCCUGAUCCAGCAAUGCCGCGUGCAGGAAGACGGCCUUCGGGUUGUAAACUGCUUUUGUACGGAACGAAACGGUCUGGGUUAAUACCCUGGGCUAAUGACGGUACCGUAAGAAUAAGCACCGGCUAACUACGUGCCAGCAGCCGCAGUAACAC
rnacentral:rRNA from 1 species